rnacentral:lncRNA from 1 species
UCAUUUCUGAGCAGUUUUUUUUCUGGCAGCAGUAGAUUUGUACUCUUACAAUUCAAAACAAAACUGCUGCUUGUGGGUCAUUCUUCAGUUAUACAGGUGAGGAAUCUCUGCCUAUGCUCUCACAUUACAUUCUAAAUCUUGUGUUUAAGAACAUGGCGCAACUGAACCUUCUGGCUUUCCAUCCUAGCCUCCAAAAGUCUGGCUUUCAAACUACUCUUCUGCACAGUGCGAGGAAUGCACCCUUUCAUGCCUCGAUUGUGCAGAUUUGCAGACUCAGGAGAACUAAACUGGAUCAGAAGGUCUUGGGGGCUUAGUUCACCUUUAUCAAGUCUCCAAUCAGGAGACAUUACGCCCCCAUUGGAUACCCUUCCAUUUGAAAGCCUUCCAUUCAUUCCCUCCACAGAGAUUAUCUUGUAAUUAUCUCCACUGUUUGGACCAGACCUCCAAAGCCUUGCUAUUGAGGAUACCUUCUUUGAUUGCUUAGCCGGUACUGACGAAACUUCACUAAUUUCAGUUAUUGGGGUCUCUACACCGGCAUUUUCUUCCCAUUCAAGCACACUCCUACCUGAGGCAUUGCUCUCUCGACGAUUCUUUGUCACUGAUAGGGUACUCCCUUCAGGUGAACAACUUGAUCCUUGAUCCUCAACAUGGCUCACAGUUUCCCAUCCACUUUCAUCUUCUUCAAUAUCACCAUUGUCAUCCAUAAAUAAAUUAGAACAUCUUCGGAAGUUAUCCUUACUAAUCAUGUUGGCUUCAGGACUCACUGUGUGAAUCUUUGAGGCGUGACUCACAGGAGAGUAAGCAACACAUGAUUCAAUAUCCUUCUCGUUGGGUUCACCGAAAUUUAAAUCUUCA